UACGUAGGGGGCAAGCGUUAUCCGGAUUUACUGGGUGUAAAGGGAGUGUAGGUGGCCGUGCAAGUCAGAUGUGAAAUCCCGGGGCUCAACCCCGUGACUGCAUUUGAAACUGCGUGGCUGGAGUGCAGGAGAGGUAAGCGGAAUUCCUAGUGGAGCGGUGAAAUGCGUAGAUAUUAGGAGGAACACCGGUGGCGAAGGCGGCUUACUGGACUGUAACUGACACUGAGGCUCGAAAGCGUGGGGAGCAAAC
rnacentral:rRNA from 1 species